GUUGGUUGAAAAUCACCCCCGGUUUUGGCCGUGGCGGCGGGUGAAAUUCGGCGCCCAAGAGCCUCCGGGGACCUCAGCUCACCGCGUGCUGCCGCCAUGUGCGGCGGUGAAACCCAGGCCCCGACAGGG
ensembl:snoRNA